rnacentral:sRNA from 1 species
GCUGGGCCUGGUGGCGCACACCUGUAAUCCCAACAGCUCAGGAGGCUAAGGCAGGAGGAUCACAAAUUCAAAGCCAGCCUCAGUAAAAAUAAGGCACUAAGCAACUCAGUGAGACCCUGUCUCUA